AGCGAACGCUAGCGGCACGCUUAACACAUGCAAGUCGAACGGGACUGAGCACUUCGGUGCUUGGUCUAGUGGCAAACGGGUGAGUAAUAUAUAGGAAUCUGCCCUUUUGAGGGGGAUAGCCAUGGGAAACUGUGAGUAAUACCCCAUAAGCUCGAAAGAGGAAAGUCGAAAGACGCUGAAGGAGGAGCCUAUAUCGGAUUAGAUAGUUGGUAGGGUAAAGGCCUACCAAGUCUACGAUCCGUAGCUGGUCUGAGAGGAUGACCAGCCACACUGGGACUGAGAUACGGCCCAGACUUCUACGGAAGGCGGCAGUGAGGAAUUUUGGACAAUGGGGGAAACCCUGAUCCAGCGAUGUCGCGUGUAUGAUGAAGGCCAUUUGGUUGUAAAGUACGUUCGGUUGUGAAGAUAAUGACGGUAACAACAAAAGAAGCUCCGGCUAACUUCGUGCCAGCCGCCGCGGUAAUAC
rnacentral:rRNA from 1 species